rnacentral:rRNA from 1 species
GNGGAACCNGCGGAGGGAUCAUUACCGAGUUAUACAACUCAUCAACCCUGUGAACAUACCUAAAACGUUGCUUCGGCGGGAACAGACGGCCCUGUAACAACGGGCCGCCCCCGCCAGAGGACCCCUAACUCUGUUUUUAUAAUGUUUUUCUGAGUAAACAAGCAAAUAAAUUAAAACUUUCAACAACGGAUCUCUUGGCUCUGGCAUCGAUGAAGAACGCAGCGAAAUGCGAUAAGUAAUGUGAAUUGCAGAAUUCAGUGAAUCAUCGAAUCUUUGAACGCACAUUGCGCCCGCCAGUAUUCUGGCGGGCAUGCCUGUUCGAGCGUCAUUACAACCCUCAGGCCCCCGGGCCUGGCGUUGGGGAUCGGCGGAAGCCCCCUGUGGGCACACGCCGUCCCUCAAAUACAGUGGCGGUCCCGCCGCAGCUUCCAUUGCGUAGUAGCUAACACCUCGCAACUGGAGAGCGGCGCGGCCAUGCCGUAAAACACCCAACUUCUGAAUGUUGACCUCGAAUCAGGUAGGAAUACCCGCUGAACUUAAGCAUAUCAAUAGNCGGGAGGAAA